UUCCGUAGGUGAACCUGCGGAAGGAUCAUUACCGAGUCCAGGCGGACGGCGCCCCGGCGUCGCCCGCCCACCUCACCACCCGUGUCUACACUACCACGUUGCUUCGGCGGUUCCCGCGGGACCGCGGCCGCCGGAGACCCCCCGAACUCUGCCUGGAAGGUUGCCGUCUGAGCGAUGAAAACAAACCAGCAAAACUUUCAACAACGGAUCUCUUGGUUCCGGCAUCGAUGAAGAACGCAGCGAAAUGCGAUAAGUAAUGUGAAUUGCAGAAUUCAGUGAAUCAUCGAAUCUUUGAACGCACAUUGCGCCCCCUGGUAUUCCGGGGGGCAUGCCUGUCCGAGCGUCAUUACUGCCCUCAAGCGCGGCUUGUGUGUUGGGCCCUCGCCCCCCUCCGGGGAGGGCGUGCCCGAAAGGCAGUGGCGGCGCCGUGCCCGGUCCUCGAGCGUAUGGGGCUUCGUCACCCGCUCUGGAGGCCCGGCCGGCCGACCGCCGACCCAACCC
rnacentral:rRNA from 1 species